CCCACGAUAAACGUUGCAUCAUCCAUCGACAACCAACGCAUUCCUAUAAUCAUUAUUUGUUUGCGAUUGAUGAGUUGUUCGCUUCUAGAAGAGCCUAGAAACUGUCCAACUAUCUCUCUCAAUGGUACAACAUCUCACCAUCAUCCGAUUCAUACAUAGGUGGAUGGUGGAUGUUAAUCUGAUUUUGAAAUUUUGAAAUGCUCUCCUCGAAUUUCUAUCCAAUUUCCCAUCCACCCUCGAGGGAAAUCAAAAACUGGACCCUAAAGAUUUUCCUAUAUAUACUCUUGCCAUUUUCAUUGAAAAAAGGGGGUGGGGGGGAAAGAAAAAGGGCCUCAGAGGAAAAAACUUCAAAAUAUUCUGAGGAAAAGUAAAUUACAAUUAAAAUUUCUCUUAGUCAGUUUUGGAUUUAAUCUUGGCUUCCAGUGGUGGAGAGGAGAUUCCGACAACAGUCCGAGUCCUGUUUUGUUGCCCCAAACAAGUAAUACCGAGGGAUUUUGAAAUUGAUGAGAUUAUGUAUGAUGCAACAAUAAAAUACAAAGGAUUAGUAGAGGCAAUCGCAACAGAGCUGAUGAUAGACAUAUCGAACUGAAAGGUCAAGCGCAAGAAGCUACAAUUUGAUUUGUAUGGUGGAGGACUGUACUUGGUUUCUUCGUUCUUUCAAAAUUAACAAAUCAAAGAUUUUUAAGAUAAGAAUGUAUUGUGACAUUCAUACAUGCUCAAUAAAGGAUCAAGUUUAUGCAAGACGUCAAGGGAUGACAAAAGUGGUAGCCGGACUGAUUUUAACAAAUCAAAGAUUCUAGAACCGGGGAAUAAUGGUGUAUUUAGAUUAGAAAAGUAGUAUUGUUGAUUUUUUUUAUUAAAUAUAUAUUGUAUGUGACACCAAAAUAUAUGACAAUGGAUAUUAAUGAAAAUACUGAACAAUCUAUUAUUUGUGUUGGUAUAUAAGA